CAACGGAACGAAUGCCACCGAUUUGCGCUAAACGGCGUGAUGAUUAUGUCGCGAUAAGUAGCUCUCCCUCUCGCAGCACGCAACGCCGUGUACAGAGUUCACCAUGAGUCGCGUUGAAAGAAAAGCAAAAGUCCAACACCAUCCCCGGCACGACAUCAUCAUAAGCUAAGUGAUGGGAAACGAACCAUGACCCCUGUUGGCACUCGCGAGCGAACGAACACAACAUCAACAACAGCACUGCGAUCAUGAUGAUGACGCGCUCGAUGAAGAUGAUAUCGCGCUGGAAAGCCCAAAUCGAAACCACUCGGGGCGUUGGGCGAGCGAAGACGUAGCAGACGGUACUUGAGCUGUCGAGAGGUGGGUCGAGAUUGAAACCGGUACCAACAACGGGUACACGUUCCUGGUCCCCGAUUCCCGGAAAGAAGUGAACAAAAAAAAAACACAUUUGCGCUAGCAGGGUAGCUUACAUUGACUCCACAAUCAAGUCGAGCCUCUUUACUUUGCAAGCGAUCGCGUAGGCAACAUGGAGUUGGAGGUUGUGCAACAUUCGGCAAACACAACUUCGACGACGGCGACGACCGAAACGACUCCUCUAUGGGCCUUCCCCCUCUUCUGGUCUGGUAAAUGGCAGCAAGGCAGGACCUCUGCUAGCCAUCGACAUGCUAACAUCAGUAAGCUCGGACGAGAAGUGCUCCCGGUCUGCUGUGAGGCCAAUUCGAGUAGGCAGAUGGCUCCAAAAGAGGGUUCGAACACACACUUACACACACAGCGUCCAUUUGAAACAUAUCCCCCCCAAGUGGCGACAUCUAGCAUCAGUUGGAAGUCUACCCAGCAGUACAUCAUCCAGGAGUCGUCUUCAUGAAGUGUCCCAACUUUGCCCCACUCGCCCGAUGGUAAGAAAAAAAGAGCAAAACAAAACAGUACCCAUAAUAAAUGCUACUUAUCAAGAUUUUGAAGUUCUCGCCUCGAGCGCUGUUGUUUUUGUGAGGCAUUGUCCAAACGCACGUGUUUAGAGCGGGAGGGUGCGGGACCUCGGUUUGGCACUCGACCGCAAUUAUAAUUCGAGGUGGCUUUCGCUUACUAGCCAAUAAGAAGAGAGACAAAAACACUCGACAAACACAAAUGUCAUCAAAGCCAAACUGUCAACGGAAUCUCGGACGUGUCGUUGCCAAGUUUACAAUGUACCCUCCUUUCCAGAAAAAGUGUCCCACCUCCAGGAGAAAGCGUUGAUGGACGAAAACGAAACGGAAGCUAAUAGAUGGCCCCAGUACACGCACGAGAUUUGUCCGUCUACGUCAAUUCGGCCCCAGUAAGCCCCUUGGCAGAUCACUUUCCUUUCAAAACAAAACCUUCAGGAGGUUGAAAGGAAAAGACAAGAGUUAGAUCUCCAGGCCGGUGUGCAGCAGUUUGCUUGGACUGGAGGCCCUCCCAACAAUGACGGGCCAAGAAUGUUGACUCAAGAGUGCUAUAUCUACCAAUCUUGCCUACUUUGUGGUGGCCUGUUGAUGAUGUUGAGCCUUCCGAAUGCGCUCAAGCUUAACGGCUCACGGAGACAGUGGAGAAUUGCUUGGAGGGUGAAUGUAUCAUUUGCUGGGUGUACUGACGAGGUGCACCGAUCGCCAAAACAACGAUACUCCGGCUUGGGUACACAAUGGACUGCGAGGUGGUAUAGUAGGUUGUAAUGUACGCAAGAGACCACGCAGGAUCGUUGUAAUUCAACACACGCUCAAACCUAACCUCAAAAAAAGAGCGCCGGCGACCCGAAAGGAAAAAAGAACUGACUCACUCCCGGGUGAAAUGAUAUGCAGCAUAAGUAUUGUUAUUAAUACCGCACUAUCGUGGCCACGAUCGCUACCAGCUCAACCGUGUCGUCGUCCAGCGGCUUUUGGAAACCGGCAAAAACAGCCCUCACAUACACACAAACCCAUCAAGCAAAACGCACACAUCAAAGCACCAGGAUUCGAAUGUGGCGCUCGCCGGUCGGGAUACAUUUCAAGGCACGACGGUGAAAAACCUGGCGUCGUCGACUCUCCUCACUUUUGCCACUCGUUUUCCUCACUUUUCUGGACACCUUUUAUAGGGCAAAUCCGUCAUAAUCAUUUGUCGGUCCAGGGAACAGUUUUAUGCGGUGCGAAUGGAAUUAUAAUUUGUAAUAUUGCGACGAGGUCUCAGGUUUCCGGGUGCUCUGUGCGCCAAGCUUGAGGCGGACCCUUUCUCGGGUCACUUUGCGCGGUUCGACCGUUAAAGGAACCGGGAAGCUUCUGGAGUGUGAAGGAACAGAAGGCUUUACCACCAAAAAAAAAAAAAAC